UACGAAGGGGGCGAGCGUUGUUCGGAUUUACUGGGCGUAAAGGGCGCGCAGGCGGCUUUGUUUGUCAGGCGUGAAAUUCCCGGGCUUAACCUGGGGGCUGCAUUUGAUACGUGUUGUCUUGAGUUCGGAAGAGGGUCGUGGAAUUCCCAGUGUAGAGGUGAAAUUCGUAGAUAUUGGGAAGAACACCGGUGGCGAAGGCGGCGACCUGGUCCGACACUGACGCUGAGGCGCGAAAGCUAGGGGAGCAAACGGG
rnacentral:rRNA from 1 species